CCCUGUGGCUCAGUUGGUAGAGCAUGGUGUUUGCAAUGCCAGCAUGGUGUGUGCAACGCCAGGGUUGUGGGUUCGAUUCCCACAGGGG
rfam:Salmo salar isolate Sally breed double haploid chromosome ssa01, whole genome shotgun sequence.